AUGAAACAUACGGUAUGGACAAUUCAGAGACACAAGACCGGCCUGCGUGUUUUUGGAAGGUGAGAGGAAACCGCACCACCAGGAGAAACCUCACAUGGACACACAAGAGUCACAAGCAGACUCUAGAACACACCACCAGGAGCAAGCUAACACAGAGACAGUAUCAAGCAACCCAAAUUAGGUUAUGAAAAGAAGGAUCGUAUACCUUUAACCAGACAAGCUACGUUAUUAUUAGCAAGCAAGCCCUGGCUACCCCCCUGUAGCACACUGACAGCAACUCUGCUAACUAACUCAGAAGUCUCCGGCCCGGCUACUACCUUGACACAUGAGAGAGACAGGACUGAUGGCCGCAAGUUUUUAAUCUUCAUUUCCUCUUUAGAAGAAAUAAGUUUCAUACUUAUGUAGAGAUUGUUCAAAGUAGUUUUGUUUUUGUUUUUUACUUUUUGUGCUUAACAGCUUUAACAAACAUUUCAAGAGGCUGUAAUAAUGAGGUUUACAAAGGAACAAAUAACAGAAGUGCUGAAAUAACACAGACGUCCAGCAGAGAUCUGCUGGGAUGGAUCCCUGCCACUACCCUAACGGGCUCCUCCAGGAAUCUUUUUUUUUUUCUAAAUUAAAGGAUUUCCUCGAGAAAUUCGGAGUUGUGGGAGUUCUGAUAAACUUGGCCUUGAAAGACACAAUUUU